rnacentral:rRNA from 1 species
GAUGAACGCUGGCGGCGUGCCUAAUACAUGCAAGUCGAGCGAACAGACGAGGAGCUUGCUCCUCUGACGUUAGCGGCGGACGGGUGAGUAACACGUGGAUAACCUACCUAUAAGACUGGGAUAACUUCGGGAAACCGGAGCUAAUACCGGAUAAUAUAUUGAACCGCAUGGUUCAAUAGUGAAAGACGGCUUUGCUGACACUUAUAGAUGGAUCCGCGCCGCAUUAGCUAGUUGGUAAGGUAACGGCUUACCAAGGCAACGAUGCGUAGCCGACCUGAGAGGGUGAUCGGCCACACUGGAACUGAGACACGGUCCAGACUCCUACGGGAGGCAGCAGUAGGGAAUCUUCCGCAAUGGGCGAAAGCCUGACGGAGCAACGCCGCGUGAGUGAUGAAGGUCUUCGGAUCGUAAAACUCUGUUAUUAGGGAAGAACAAAUGUGUAAGUAACUAUGCACGUCUUGACGGUACCUAAUCAGAAAGCCACGGCUAACUACGUG